rnacentral:rRNA from 1 species
UACGUAGGGGGCAAGCGUUGUUCGGAAUUACUGGGCGUAAAGCGCACGUAGGCGGCUUUGCAAGUUAGAGGUGAAAGCCCGGGGCUCAACUCCGGAAUUGCCUUUAAAACUGCAUCGCUAGAAUUGUGGAGAGGUAAGUGGAAUUCCGAGUGUAGAGGUGAAAUUCGUAGAUAUUCGGAAGAACACCAGUGGCGAAGGCGACUUACUGGACACAUAUUGACGCUGAGGUGCGAAAGCGUGGGGAGCAAACAGG